rnacentral:rRNA from 1 species
AUUGAACGCUGGCGGCAUGCCUUACACAUGCAAGUCGAACGGCAGCACGGAGCUUGCUCUGGUGGCGAGUGGCGAACGGGUGAGUAAUAUAUCGGAACGUACCCUGGAGUGGGGGAUAACGUAGCGAAAGUUACGCUAAUACCGCAUACGAUCUACGGAUGAAAGUGGGGGAUCGCAAGACCUCAUGCUCGUGGAGCGGCCGAUAUCUGAUUAGCUAGUUGGUAGGGUAAAAGCCUACCAAGGCAUCGAUCAGUAGCUGGUCUGAGAGGACGACCAGCCACACUGGAACUGAGACACGGUCCAGACUCCUACGGGAGGCAGCAGUGGGGAAUUUUGGACAAUGGGCGAAAGCCUGAUCCAGCAAUGCCGCGUGAGUGAAGAAGGCCUUCGGGUUGUAAAGCUCUUUUGUCAGGGAAGAAACGGUGAGGGCUAAUAUCCCCUGCUAAUGACGGUACCUGAAGAAUAAGCACCGGCUAACUACGUGCCAGCAGCCGCGGUAAUACGUAGGGUGCAAGCGUUAAUCGGAAUUACUAGGCGUAAAGCGUGCGCAGGCGGUUUUGUAAGUCUGAUGUGAAAUCCCCGGGCUCAACCUGGGAAUUGCAUUGGAGACUGCAAGGCUAGAAUCUGGCAGAGGGGGGUAGAAUUCCACGUGUAGCAGUGAAAUGCGUAGAUAUGUGGAGGAACACCGAUGGCGAAGGCAGCCCCCUGGGUCAAGAUUGACGCUCAUGCACGAAAGCGUGGGGAGCAAACAGGAUUAGAUACCCUGGUAGUCCACGCCCUAAACGAUGUCUACUAGUUGUCGGGUCUUAAUUGACUUGGUAACGCAGCUAACGCGUGAAGCAGACCGCCUGGGGAGUACGGUCGCAAGAUUAAAACUCAAAGGAAUUGACGGGGACCCGCACAAGCGGUGGAUGAUGUGGAUUAAUUCGAUGCAACGCGAAAAACCUUACCUACCCUUGACAUGGCUGGAAUCCCCGAGAGAUUGGGGAGUGCUCGAAAGAGAACCAGUACACAGGUGCUGCAUGGCUGUCGUCAGCUCGUGUCGUGAGAUGUUGGGUUAAGUCCCGCAACGAGCGCAACCCUUGUCAUUAGUUGCUACGAAAGGGCACUCUAAUGAGACUGCCGGUGACAAACCGGAGGAAGGUGGGGAUGACGUCAAGUCCUCAUGGCCCUUAUGGGUAGGGCUUCACACAUCAUACAAUGGUACAUACAGAGCGCCGCCAACCCGCGAGGGGGAGCUAAUCGCAGGAAGUGUAUCGUAGUCCGGAUUGUAGUCUGCAACUCGACUGCAUGAAGUUGGAAUCGCUAGUAAUCGCGGAUCAGCAUGUCGCGGUGAAUACGUUCCCGGGUCU